GACAGAGGAUGCAAGCGUUAUCCGGAAUGAUUGGGCGUAAAGCGUCCGCAGGUGGCACCUCAAGUCUGCUGUCAAAGACCGGGGCUUAACCCCAGAAAGGCAGUGGAAACUGAAGUGCUAGAGUGCAGUAGGGGUAGAGGGAAUUCCCGGUGUAGCGGUGAAAUGCGUAGAGAUCGGGAAGAACAUCGGUGGCGAAAGCGCUCUGCUGGACUGCAACUGACACUCAGGGACGAAAGCUAGGGGAGCGAAUGGG
rnacentral:rRNA from 1 species